rnacentral:rRNA from 1 species
UAGCCGUAAACGAUACUCGCUAGGUGUCGGCCACGGUGCGACCGUUGUCGGUGCCGUAGGGAAGCCGUGAAGCGAGCCACCUGGGAAGUACGGCCGCAAGGCUGAAACUUAAAGGAAUUGCGGGGAGCACAACAACGGGUGGAGCUUGCGGUUUAAUUGGACUCAACGCCGGGAAGCUCACCGGAUAAGACAGCGGAAUGAUUGCCGGGCUGAAGACCCUGCAUGACCAGCUGAGAGGUGGUGCAUGGCGUAGUCGUGU